UUGCGAGGAGGCUAUGUUGCGGUGAGAAAGUUUGUGUUGAGAACGACGUACGGUAGCUUGAUGUGUAGAUUGCACCGCCGAGAAAGAAAAAAAUAUUUACAAAGCAACGUGAGUUCAUGGAGAAAUGUAUAUGUAUGACUGCAUCGAUAUUAUUGAACUGGUCACUCCACUGCCAUCUCCAAUAGCUUGAGUAGAAAAGGAUAUUCGGAGAUUUAUACAUCUAAAACUAUGGUGGUGUUCUGUGUUGUACAUCUCAGCAUCUGGAGAAAUAUAUAUUCACUGAAACGUCUUUGUUUGCAUGCCAAAGUGUAUUGUGUUUGUUUAUUUGCUUAUAUGGUUCAGGUACCUCAAUAUUGACACAUCUGGAAGGUAAGCCCAGGUUCUGAUAUCUUAGCAAUAAAGAAAAGGCAUGUGCGGAAGAGGAGCUCAGACAGAGUCGGUGAAGCUGCAAACCAACAUGAAAAGAACAUAUGGUUACGGGAAGCUGUAAACUGAAAAAGGAAGAAAGUAUUGGUAAAUGAAGAUAUUGUAAUUUGUAAAUGAGUUGCAGGAAGAACUUAUUCGUUGGUUUUUAUAAUUAAAAUAACAGUUUGUGGAGACUGACAAGUCUCAUGUUGGAAAAAAUAUUGCA